GCUGGGAUAGCUCAGUCAGUAGAGUGCGAGACUCUUAAUCUCAGGGCUGUGGGUUCGAGCCCCUUGUUGGGCA